rnacentral:rRNA from 1 species
CGACGAGACCUUCGGAUCUAGUGGCGCACGGGUGCGUAACGCGUGGGAAUCUACCCUUGGGUUCGGGAUGACAGUUGGAAACGACCGCUAAUACCGGAUGAUGACUUCGGUCCAAAGAUUUAUCGCCCAGGGAUGAGCCCGCGUAGGAUUAGCUUGUUGGUGAGGUAAGAGCUCACCAAGGCGACGAUCCUUAGCUGGUCUGAGAGGAUGAUCAGCCACACUGGGACUGAGACACGGCCCAGACUCCUACGGGAGGCAGCAGUGGGGAAUAUUGGACAAUGGGCGAAAGCCUGAUCCAGCAAUGCCGCGUGAGUGAUGAAGGCCUUAGGGUUGUAAAGCUCUUUUACCCGGGAUGAUAAUGACAGUACCGGGAGAAUAAGCCCCGGCUAACUCCGUGCCAGCAGCCGCGGUAAUACGGAGGGGGCUAGCGUUGUUCGGAAUUACUGGGCGUAAAGCGCGCGUAGGCGGCUUUGUAAGUUAGAGGUGAAAGCCCGGAGCUCAACUCCGGAACUGCCUUUAAGACUGCAUCGCUAGAAUUGUGGAGAGGUGAGUGGAAUUCCGAGUGUAGAGGUGAAAUUCGUAGAUAUUCGGAAGAACACCAGUGGCGAAGGCGACUCACUGGACACAUAUUGACGC